rnacentral:rRNA from 1 species
GUGGGGAAUUUUGCGCAAUGGGGGAAACCCUGACGCAGCAACGCCGCGUGAGUGAUGAAGGCCUUCGGGUCGUAAAGCUCUGUCAGAGGGAAAGAAAUGCGGGAGGGUUAAUACCCCUUUUGCUUGACGGUACCCUCAAAGGAAGCACCGGCUAACUCCGUGCCAGCAGCCGCGGUAAUACGGAGGGUGCGAGCGUUGUUCGGAAUUAUUGGGCGUAAAGCGCGUGUAGGCGGUCUUUUAAGUCUGAUGUGAAAGCCCCGGGCUCAACCUGGGAAGUGCAUUGGAAACUGGGAGACUUGAAUACGGGAGAGGGUAGUGGAAUUCCUAGUGUAGGAGUGAAAUCCGUAGAUAUUAGGAGGAACACCGGUGGCGAAGGCGGCUACCUGGACCGAUAUUGACGCUGAGACGCGAAAGCGUGGGGAGCAAACAGGAUUAGAUACCCCUGUAGUCC